GAUGAACGCUGGCGGCGUGCCUAAUACAUGCAAGUCGAGCGAACAGAUGAGGAGCUUGCUCCUAUGACUUUAGCGGCGGACGGGUGAGUAACACGUGGAUAACCUACCUAUAAGACAUGGAUACCUUUGGGAAACCGGAGCUAAAACCGAAUAAUAUAUUGAACCGCAUGGUGCCAGAGUGAAAGACGGUUGUGCGGUUAGUUAUAGAUGGAUCCGCGCCGCAUUAGCUAGUUGGUAAGGUAACGGCUUACCAAGGCGACGAUGCGUAGACGACCUGAGAGGGUGAUCGCCCACACUGGAACUGAGACGCGGUCCAGACUCCUACGGGAGGCAGCAGUAGGGAAUCUUCCGCAAUGGGCGAAAGCCUGACGGAGCAACGCCGCGUGAGUGAUGAAGGUCUUCGGAUCGUAAAACUCUGUUAUUAGUGAAGAACAAAUGUGUAAGUAACUAUGCACGUCUUGACGGUACCUAAUCAGAAAGCCACGGCUAACUACGUG
rnacentral:rRNA from 1 species